rnacentral:rRNA from 1 species
CCGCCCAAGAGUUCAUAUCGACGGCGGUGUUUGGCACCUCGAUGUCGGCUCAUCACAUCCUGGGGCUGAAGUAGGUCCCAAGGGUAUGGCUGUUCGCCAUUUAAAGUGGUACGCGAGCUGGGUUUAGAACGUCGUGAGACAGUUCGGUCCCUAUCUGCCGUGGGCGCUGGAGAAUUGAGGGGGGCUGCUCCUAGUACGAGAGGACCGGAGUGGACGCAUCACUGGUGUUCGGGUUGUCAUGCCAAUGGCACUGCCCGGUAGCUAAAUGCGGAAGAGAUAAGUGCUGAAAGCAUCUAAGCACGAAACUUGCCCCGAGAUGAGUUCUCCCUGAGACUAUAAGUCUCCUGAAGGAACGUUAAAGACGAUGACGUUGAUAGGCCGGGUGUGUAAGCGCAGCGAUGCGUUGAGCUAACCGGUACUAAUGAACCGUGAGGCUUAACCUUACAACGCCGAAG